rnacentral:lncRNA from 1 species
UGCCCCACCGAGAUCACUGCCUUCUCGGACCGCUACAAGGAGUUCAAGGACAUCAACACCGAGGUUCUGGGUGUGUCUGUGGACAGCCAGUUCACCCACCUGGCCUGGAUUCAGGUGCGCGAGAGCUGUUCGCAAUUUUCGUUCUCAUUAUGAGCCUGUGCUGACGAGUUUUGUGCCUGCCUUGCCCUUGCUCGCACGAUUCACCUUCGCGAUGAUCCAGACCGACCGCAAGGUGCGUUGGUUGUCCUUGGACCUGGGUUCACUUGCCUGUAGAAGCGCAAUUGAGGUCAUGAGAGCGGGCGCAUGCAGCUGGGUCGCUGUCGCAAUGCGUUGGCGUUUUCCAUGCUCCUCGAAACGUCCGUAGACGGGCUUCCAGCGGUACUGCAUUUUCGCGCAACGGAGCUACUUUUCACAAAGUACAAGCUUUGGAAGGCAGUUUUGGACUGGGCCCACAUUGCCUGCGUGCAAACAGUCGCACCCGACUUGCUCACGGCGCACAGCAGCCCUGCUUCUUCACCCUCGCCACAGCGUCCUGCACUCGCCGCUUAGGCUCCCCUCCCUGCCGUCUCCAAGCUUCAUACGCGCGACGUCUCCAGCUCAUCCUAAUCACAUGUCGCCUUCCCAACCCCAUCGUUCCUUUGACCCCCUGCAGGAGGGUGGCCUGGGCGACCUGGCCUACCCCCUGGUGGCUGACCUGAAGAAGGAGAUCUCCAAGGCCUACGGCGUCCUGACCGAGGACGGCAUCUCCCUGCGCGGCCUGUUCAUCAUCGACAAGGAGGGCGUUGUGCAGCACGCCACCAUCAACAAC